CUGGCGGCGCGCCUAACACAUGGCAAGUCGAACGGAGCUUAGAGAGCUUGCUUUUUAAGCUUAGUGGCGAACGGGUGAGUAACGCGUGAGUAACCUGCCCUAGAGUGGGGGACAACAGUUGGAAACGACUGCUAAUACCGCAUAAGCCCACGGUACCGCAUGGUACUGAGGGAAAAGGAUUUAUUCGCUUUAGGAUGGACUCGCGUCCAAUUAGCUAGUUGGUGAGGUAACGGCCCACCAAGGCGACGAUUGGUAGCCGGACUGAGAGGUUGAACGGCCACAUUGGGACUGAGACACGGCCCAGACUCCUACGGGAGGCAGCAGUGGGGAAUAUUGCACAAUGGGGGAAACCCUGAUGCAGCGACGCCGCGUGGAGGAAGAAGGUCUUCGGAUUGUAAACUCCUGUUGUUGAGGAAGAUAAUGACGGUACUCAACAAGGAAGUGACGGCUAACUACGUG
rnacentral:rRNA from 1 species